rnacentral:tRNA from 1 species
GGAGAGGUGGCCGAGUGGUCGAAGGCGCUCGCCUGCUAAGCGAGUAUACGGGUUAAACCGUAUCGUGGGUUCGAAUCCCAUCCUCUCCGCCA